CUACGGGUUGCAGCAGUCGAGGAAAUUUUACAAUGCUCGAAAGAGUGAUAAAAUGAGCCAAAGUGUUUUCUUUUAGAAAACUUUUAUCUGUUGUAAAAAGACAGAUGAAUAAGGACUGGGCAAGACCGGUGCCAGCCGCCGCGGUAAUCCCGGCGGUCCAAGUCGCAUCCACAAUUAUUGGGUCUAAAACAUUCGUAGCUUGUUUUGUAAGUCUCUUGUGAAAUUCUAUAUCUUAAGUAUGGAGCUUGCAAGAGAUACUGCAUCACUAGGGACCGGAAGACGCAAAGAGUAUGAUUAAGGUAGCGGUAAAAUGUGUUAAUCUUAAUCAGACUAACAAUAGCGAAGGCACUUUGCGAGUACGGAUCUGACAGUGAGGAAUGAAGGCUAGGGGCGCAAAAGGGAUUAGAUACCCCCGUAGUC
rnacentral:rRNA from 1 species